rnacentral:rRNA from 1 species
GUGUCAGCAGCCGCGGUAAUACGUAGGGGGCAAGCGUUAUCCGGAAUCAUUGGGCGUAAAGCGCGUGUAGGCGGUUCCGUAAGUCCGCUCUGAAAGCCCAGGGCUCAACCCUGGGAGGCGGGUGGAUACUACGGAACUGGAGUACGGAAGAGGAGAUUGGAAUUCCUGGUGUAGCGGUGAAAUGCGCAGAUAUCAGGAGGAACACCAACAGCGAAGGCAGAUCUCUGGGACGUUACUGACGCUGAGACGCGAAAGCGUGGGGAGCAAACAGGAUUAGAUACCCUGGUAGUCC